GGUCGUGUGAUGUAGUGGUCGAAGCAUUCCAGAUUUUGAAUCAUAUUAGCACUGUCAACAUAUGACUUUGAAAGAUUCUGGCUACCUGGGUUCGAAUCCCAGCAUGACCA
rnacentral:tRNA from 1 species